rnacentral:misc_RNA from 1 species
GGCUGCGCAAGAAGCAGCAGGUGGAUGAGCUAGAGAGCAUUGUCCGGUUGAAGCAGGCCGAGGCCGAGAUGUUCCAGCUGAAGGCAAACGAGGCCCGUCAGGAGGCUGACAGGCUCCAGAGCAUCGCGCUUGCCAAAUCUGAGAGGGCCGAGCAGGACUACGCCAGCCUAUACCUGAAGCGCCGCCUGGAGGAAGCUGAAGCAGAG